GCCCCCGUCGUCUAGCCAGGUCUAGGAUGCGGGGUUCUCGUCCCCGAGACCCGGGUUCGAAUCCCGGCGGGGGCA
rnacentral:tRNA from 1 species